ACUAGGUCGCAAAGACCCGUAUGUUAAAUACUGCAGUAGUGCAGUGACGUCACCUGUGUUUUACUCUAGUCCGCUAAUGAGGCUAUCAUACGGAAUGAUCCGCAUCGACUCUAUAAACACUUACAAUUAUAAUCUAAGUAGACGUACCAUACACCAGUAAAUAAAAACACUGCUAUUUAUCACGUUAAUAAUUGUGUGAUGUUUCUUCUCUGAUGAACAAUGAAUAGCAUUUAUUACACGUACUGUUCAGAAGGAUGCUGCCCCGAGGAAUACUGUGCCUUCAAGCUAAUCUGCUAUCCAAAAAAAAGGUGCACGUACGGAUGUCCUGAUGGCGAAUGUUUGCAAGAGCUGUGCAUGCCCAUGCGACCAUGCACACGUGACUCUGAGUGCGGUAUCGCGCACGUAUGCACGAGGAACUAUAACCUUGGUUACGACACGUGUCAGUACAACCUGGAAAUUGGCAAAACUGUGUGCGUGGACGCGAAAGGACGUUCUCUACGCAAACCAAUUAGUUGAUCGUACGCCAGCAGUAUGAUAUAUCCAGGGGAACAAGUUUUAUUAUCGAUCAUAAUCGUCUGUAUUAUUAAAUAAGUGCAUAAAAUACAUAAUUGGCGUUCGUCACCAGCAAGCUGAUUUUAUCUAGUAACAAAUGUAUGUUGCAUACAUGUGUCUGUAUCGUAGAAUAUUUGCUCUUGGCCAGAUAUUUUUUAUGUAAAUAUGAUAAAUUUACUGCCACGAUGAACGUCUACAUGAUAUGAAUGCAGUAAUUUAACGGGAACACCUGGCUUAAUAUAUAAGUAUUGUCCUCAAUCAGCAUUUGCAAACCCGCACAAACUAAUCCGGGAAAACACUGUUCGAUUAUAUGGAAUUAUUCUUUUAUAGGAAGUGUCUUUGAAUCGAAAAAUGGCGGACUGUGUCGUUGACGAUGAGCAUGUGUGGACUGUACAGGGUAAUCUGGGACGAUACUUCUGAAUAAGGAGAUCGAAAUGCUGCUCGUAUAUUUUACACGUUACGUCAUUUCUAAGAGAAAUUACAUAAUGUUGCAUCCCAGAGUGAGGAAUAAUAAAACAUCAGAGCUAUCACCAGGGGAGAACCCGUCAUCAAGGUGCUUAUUUUCUUUGUUUAAGGAUAUGUGACAAAAGAAAACAAAACAAUACAGGACAAUACAAAGACCGCACAGUACAAUACACGAAAAACAUUUACAACUGCGUCAUCGCUUUGGAACGGGCAAUGCAAUGCUUUUUGAUUGAACAGGUUAAAGCAAAGCUCAACGACAAACCAUGGUUUUGUAAUUGCGCGUUGGAGACACUUUCAUACGAUGGACUCAUAUUAUCAACUAAGUGUAUGCAAACAUUUAAAUUUGGCUGAAUGACAGCAAUUAUUAUUGACCAACAUUAUCGUGAUCAGUUUUGUAAGGGUUGUUUUAAAUCGUAAACUACUGUAGAUCUUUUCUCUUCUGCAUGAACAGUGUAUUGAAUGUUGGACAUUUGAAUUCAGAUGCAACCAAUAAGCUUGUAUAAGGAACAUGUGUAUUUAGAUAUUUUAUUGACUCUUAGAUUAAUGCCAUAAUAAAAACUUAACUCUAAAGUACAGAUAAGAAAAAUAUAAAAUAAUAAUUUAUGGUAAAAUCUUGUAAUCUUUGUUUGGUAAAUGAACUCUUUACCAUGUUCAUAAGAAUUAAACAGGUCAAUUUACUAGGUCAGGCAAAAAUGAGCUUCCAUCAAUAUGCAAGUUAAUAUAAGAAUGCAAUAUAAGAUAUCUAAUCUAGAUUGAAUAGAUUUUAAAUGCGCAAUGCUUGUUCAAUAUUGGUAACAUGGUCUGCCUAUUUGGAAACCGCAUAGGACCAUGUUUUAAUUCAUCUUGGACAGCACAGAUGUGACCCAUGUUAAUCCCGUUUGCAAUUUCGAUAUGAUUUAUAUCUUGGAUGUAUGGUUAGGACCCAUGUGGUUGCCCAUAUGGGUCCCAUUUGCAUUAUUUGCUUGGAACUAAUUGUGUGUUUAUUUUUUCUUGGACAUAUGCUUUAGAUCAAACUGAAUACGUCGUUUAAUUGAAAGUUACAGCACCCUUCGCCAUAUUGCUUCUCGGUAUGAUAACUGCAUUUAACUGUUGCAUGUAUACGUAUUGUUUAGUAAAUUUUGCCCUUUUAUAGACUUAUUAUGAAACAUCUUUAAAAUGAGUCUAGAUUAAUUCUUAAGAAUUAGUUUGCCCUAAAUUGUGCGGCUUAAAACCUGUCCAUAUGUACAUAACCAUGCCUAGCAUAAACUCUUAUUUUUACACAUAGUGGUGUGAUCGUUGUGUAUGUGUUAAGUGGGCAAUCAGCAUAUUAAGGAAUAGAAAUAAACGGACUUCCUGUGGUA